rnacentral:rRNA from 1 species
GAAGAACGCUGGCGGCGUGCUUAACACAUGCAAGUCGAACGGAAAGGCCCAAGCUUGCUUGGGUACUCGAGUGGCGAACGGGUGAGUAACACGUGGGUGAUCUGCCCCGCACUUCGGGAUAAGCCUGGGAAACUGGGUCUAAUACCGGAUAGGACCACUUCUUGGAGGUUGUGGUGGAAAGUUUUUUCGGUGUGGGAUGAGCUCGCGGCCUAUCAGCUUGUUGGUGGGGUAAUGGCCUACCAAGGCGUCGACGGGUAGCCGGCCUGAGAGGGUGUACGGCCACAUUGGGACUGAGAUACGGCCCAGACUCCUACGGGAGGCAGCAGUGGGGAAUAUUGCACAAUGGGCGCAAGCCUGAUGCAGCGACGCCGCGUGGGGGAUGACGGCCUUCGGGUUGUAAACUCCUUUCGCUAGGGACGAAGCGCAAGUGACGGUACCUAGAGAAGAAGCACCGGCUAACUACGUG